GUUCAGAGGUGAUUUUCAUUUUCCUUGGAUGAUUUUAUCUAUGUAUUCUUAAAGAAAAUUUUAUGGUUAAGCAGGAUUUUAAAAUUCGUUGGUGUUGAUUUCACUAUUGUAACAUUAAAAAUGUUUGGAAAAUUGGUUUGUUUUGUUGUUGGAACAUAUGCAGGUAUUUUCAUUGACCAACAUUACAAAUUGCCUAAAGUUGAUGAUCCACAGGAAUUAUGGAAUAAAAUUAAAGAAUUCGCAGAGAAUUAUAAAAAAGAUUAAAUGUAUAUUCUGUUUUUGAGCUAAAGACUGUGAUAUAUCAUGAGGAGAAACAUGUCUACUAGCUUGUGUUGGGAUGCAGAGAUGUGACAGAUUGAAAAACUUUGUUACUGUAUAAAUUGUAAUACCGGGUGCUUUCUGUGCCUACUUUGUUACUUUUCCAUCUACAAACACAAUCCUUGUAAAAAUAAUGUAAUGAGUCUGUUUGUUCGUUCCCAGUUAUAUUUGUUAAAAUUUCUAAUAGAAUUUUGUAUUGGUUUGAAUGACUGUGAAUAAAAUUAUGGGGAGGAUAUUUAUUGCCAUGAAUAGUUUCACUUAGGAUUGCUAAGUUAUGGAAUUUUAUGAAGAUGUACCUGUACAUGUAUAUGAUGAUAUUAAUUAUCUGCUGUGUAUUAGCUUGUUAUCCAGUCUUCAAUAGUAUAUAGGAACGUCUCUUCGGAGAUUUGAGGAAAGACUAGGGACAUGGACCAACCAUUUUAAGAAUUAUUAGUUUAAGAACUUUUUUCGCCUAGCUUCGCCCAGCUAAUUUUUUUUAUACAUAAUAAUAUAAAAUUUUCGAAUUACUGUGUUGCCAAUAUAUUAUAAAUUUUUAUAUAAGACCUCAAAAUGUACAAUCGACACAUCCUUAUUUGACUCACUCCACUCGAGCUUUCUUUCUUUUCCUACAUCUUCGGAAAUAUUGUGCAUACAAUGUGAAACAAAAAUGUCAUAUAAUGUUUUAAUUUAACUAUAAAAGCCCUCCAUUCUGCAAGGCUUUGGUUUGCCUCGCCAGUGGGGAGUCCCCACCCACCCAUCCUUUUCAAAAUCAUGUAUACAGAUACAUGUAAUUAUGUAAUGUGUAUUGUUUUAUAGAUAUUUGUUUGUGUAAAUUUAUGAUUAAAAAGUGUAUGGAAUAAA